AUGAAAGUUAUAGCUUGGAACUGCCGUGGGCUUGGGAACCCACGUGCAGUUCGUAGCCUUCUGGAGCUGCAGAAGGCGGAAGCUCCCGACAUCCUCUUCCUCUCGGAGACUAAAAUGACAGAGAGGGAGGUUGAUUUCUUGCGGUGGCGUCUGAAUCUGGUGAACAUGGUGGGAGUUGACUGCGUUGGUCGUAGUGGAGGGCUUGCUCUCUUCUGGAGGAGAGGGGUG
rnacentral:rRNA from 1 species